GAACGCUGGCGGUAUGCUUUACACAUGCAAGUCGAACGGUAGUCCUUCGGGAUGAGAGUGGCGAACGGGUGAGUAAUAUAUCGGAACAUAUCCGUAAGUGGGGGAUAACGUAGAGAAAUUUACGCUAAUACCGCAUAUUCCCUGAGGGGGAAAGGAGGGGAUCGCAAGACCUUUCGCUAACGGAGUGGCCGAUAUCGGAUUAGCUAGUAGGUGAGGUAAAGGCUCACCUAGGCGACGAUCCGUAGCGGGUCUGAGAGGAUGAUCCGCCACACUGGAACUGAGACACGGUCCAGACUCCUACGGGAGGCAGCAGUGGGGAAUUUUGGACAAUGGGCGAAAGCCUGAUCCAGCCAUACCGCGUGAGUGAAGAAGGCCUUCGGGUUGUAAAGCUCUUUCAGCCGGAAAGAAAUCCUGCUUACUAAUACUAAGUGGGGAUGACGGUACCGGAAGAAGAAGCACCGGCUAACUACGUGCCAGCAGCCGCGGUAAUACGUAGGGUGCGAGCGUUAAUCGGAAUUACUGGGCGUAAAGCGUGCGCAGGCGGUUUUAUAAGCCAGAUGUGAAAUCCCCGGGCUUAACCUGGGAACUGCAUUUGGAACUGUAAGACUAGAGUGUAGCAGAGGGGGGUAGAAUUCCACGUGUAGCAGUGAAAUGCGUAGAGAUGUGGAGGAAUACCGAUGGCGAAGGCAGCCCCCUGGGCUAACACUGACGCUCAUGCACGAAAGCGUGGGGAGCAAACAGGAUUAGAUACCCUGGUAGUCCACGCCCUAAACGAUGUCAACUAGGUGUUGGGGAAGGAGGCUUCUUUAGUACCGCAGCUAACGCGUGAAGUGACCGC
rnacentral:rRNA from 1 species